rnacentral:rRNA from 1 species
UACGUAGGGGGCAAGCGUUGUCCGGAAUCAUUGGGCGUAAAGAGCGUGUAGGCGGCCCGAUAAGUCCGCUGUGAAAGUCCAGGGCUCAACCCUGGGAUGCCGGUGGAUACUGUCGGGCUCGAGUCCGGAAGAGGAGUGUGGAAUUCCUGGUGUAGCGGCGAAAUGCGCAGAUAUCAGGAGGAACACCAAUGGCGAAGGCAGCACUCUGGGACGUGACUGACGCUGAGACGCGAAAGCGUGGGGAGCGAACAGG